CAAUGCUUUAGGAAAAAAUGAGUGUAGUUGAAACAAGGAUAUUAAGAUGGAUGUGUUGUAAGACAAGGAGAUAUGGAUAUAUUCAAAUAUGGAGUUGAAAUACCUUUUUGUCAUCCAUAACAAUGUUUCUUUCUUGUGACGUGAUGUGAUUGCUUGUUUUGUGACAAUGCUGAUGUACAAGCUGAUUUUUCACUUAUUGAGCCAAUGCUACAAGAUGAGGAUUGCAUAGAGAAAGAAUGCCCAAAGAAAUGACCAUGACGUGCGGGAUUCUUGCUUCGACAAUUCAAGAGAAAGUGGUGCUGAAGGAGGACAAAGAAAGGAUAGAGCAGCAGCUGAAAGCACAAGGAAAUGGUUACUGUUUCAUCUUCAAAAAUUGGCCACGGUUGUUGCUCCGAAAAAAUGGAGAAGCAGGAUAGUUGCUUACAUUAAUGUCAAGUCGAGUAAUUCAAUUGGUUUUAUGAUUUUUGUGAUAGCAUUUGGCCACCUGUAAUAAAAUGGAGAUAUAAUUCAUUUGGUCACCUAUACUAGUUGAGAGUUUUUGUGAUAGCAUUUGGUUUAAUGGUUUUUGUUGUGAAUGGAUAACUUGGCAACGAAUUUUGGA